GAUGAACGCUGGCGGCGUGCCUAAUACAUGCAAGUCGAGCGAACGGACGAGAAGCUUGCUUCUCUGAUGUUAGCGGCGGACGGGUGAGUAACACGUGGAUAACCUACCUAUAAGACUGGGAUAACUUCGGGAAACCGUAGCUAAUACCGGAUAAUAUUUUGAACCGCAUGGUUCAAAAGUGAAAGACGGUCUUGCUGUCACUUAUAGAUGGAUCCGCGCUGCAUUAGCUAGUUGGUAAGGUAACGGCUUACCAAGGCAACGAUGCAUAGCCGACCUGAGAGGGUGAUCGGCCACACAGGAACUGAGAGACGGUACAGACUCCGACGGGAGGCAGCAGUAGGGAAUCUUCCGCGAUGGGCGAAAGCCUGACGGAGCAACGCCGCGUGAGUGAUGAAGGUCUUCGGAUCGUAAAACUCUGUUAUUAGGGAAGAACAUAUGUGUAAGUAACUGUGCACAUCUUGACGGUACCUAAACAGAAAGCCACGGCUAACUACGUG
rnacentral:rRNA from 1 species